rnacentral:pre_miRNA from 1 species
UAUAAUAUUUUGAUUUUUCGUCUUAUCUAAAAUUUUAUUGUGAUUAAUAUUUUUUACUAGAUGAUAGAAUAUGAAUAGUACUUUAUGUGUGACUAAUUUUUUUAAGCUUUUGCAUAAUUUUUUAAAUAAGACAAAUAAUCAAACGUUAAAUACGGAAAAAC